rnacentral:miRNA from 1 species
AGGUGCUCCAGGCUGGCUCACA